rnacentral:rRNA from 1 species
UACGUAGGGUGCAAGCGUUAAUCGGAAUUACUGGGCGUAAAGCGUGCGCAGGCGGUUCUUUAAGGCAGAUGUGAAAUCCCCGGGCUCAACCUGGGAACUGCAUUUGUGACUGUAGAGCUGGAGUGCGGCAGAGGGGGAUGGAAUUCCGCGUGUAGCAGUGAAAUGCGUAGAUAUCGGAAGGAACACCAGUGGCGAAGGCGGCUAUCUGGACUGACACUGACGCUGAGGCGCGAAAGCGUGGGGAUCAAACAGG